UCCCUAGUGGCUCAGAGGUUAAAGGGUCUGCCUCUAAUGCAGGAGACCCAGGUUCGAUCCCUGGGUCAGGAA
rnacentral:tRNA from 1 species